CCCAGCCGAACCGAUAUGACAGAGAAAAAAAACAGGGCCGCACUCACCCACUCCUUCCCUAACCUCCAGAUUCCCUCCCAUCCAUUGCGCCGCCGGCCUCUCUCUUCGUUCUUCCGCCGCGCCGCCAGCCUCCGUCCCCAUGCUUCCACCGCGGCAACGGCCUCCCACCCCGUGCUUUCGCCGCAGCGCCACCUCCCUCCCCGUGCUUCCACCCCGCGCUGGGCUCCCUUACCCUGCUUCCACCCCCUCGCCGGCCUCCCUCCCCCUACUUCCACCCCGGCCACGACCAACCUCCCCUGCUUCCACUCCGGGGAUGGCCUCUCUCCCCUGCUUCCGGCGGCCCGCCCCUCCUCUAUGCGCUAUCCUCCACCAUCGUCGUUGCCAAAGCAGAUCCCGCCACUGUUUGCCAGGACCUCGUCGAUGAUCUGUCGUGAGGCCCAGCGCCCCAUCGUCCGACGCGCCUAGCUAGCCCGCUCCCGCCGGCCCUCUGCCCUCCCUCACCACGCGACCUGCGUGCUUCCCCCUACGACCACUGCAUGCCGCACCCGCGAGGAAACCAGCCACCCAUCGCUCCGGUCGCCCGUGCCAAAUCCAGAUGCAGUUCAGGGAGUCUUCCUGCUGCAGAUUGGACACCCUGCACCCAAUCUCCGACACUGUAACCCAUGUACGCCUCGGCGCUGCUGCUCGCGGCCAGGAUCUGGCGGCCAGCAUCCCCAUCGCCUCCAUGUUGCGCGAGCACCGGUGGGUGCAGGCGGCUGUCUUGUCAUCGCAGGUAGAGGAGAACUCGGCCUACAGUUGGAUGGCACACCCACCAGCGACGGAGAGCCACCUCCCGCCGCCGGCCGGCCAUCCCCGAGUCGUCUGUGGCUCUCGCCCUAGCUUUGGAUCCAGCGAGCACCUUAGGGGCGCGCCGGCGAUGCAGGCCACGUACCUCUCCCCAAUCUCUGCAACGAGAAGCCACCGACUGCGGACGGCGAGCUCCUGGAUCCUGCUGAUCUCGCUGUCCCCAACCCACAUGCGUGGCACGGACAUCGUUUCCUAUGACAGUUUCCGACACCCUGUGGUGUUGUUACCGUCAGCUGCACCCUGUGGUAUUUGGUUUAAAUUACAGGAUUUUGCAAUUCAUGGUGUCGACGCAGAUUUUCUACCCUAUGAUGAUGAUGGGGACUUUGAUGAGGCAAUUGAUCUUGAUGAUGAUGAGGGUGAGCCAAAUCCUGACGAAUUCCAGUCUCAUGAUGCACUUAGUGGCUGGUCUUCUCGUACCAAGGGUGUUGCAAGAUAUCUCAAGACUUUAUUCGAUGAAGAGUCUGGUCGGGGGAGAAAGAAUGUUGUCAUUGAUCAUCUGGUAAAUGGAAAGUCUCGGAAAGAAGCCUCAAGGAUGUUCUUCGAGACCUUGGUCCUUUCGACGAAGGACUACAUUCAGGUGGAGCAACCAAUUCCCUUUGGUUUAAUAAACGUGAAGCCAGUAUCCAAGCUCCUGAAGACAGAUUUCUAGACCAAGACCAAGACCGCCUAGCAAAAGUGGCAUGAUAUACAUACAUGAGCUUAAGCUCGACGACCCACGCGCCACCAGAGGAGGAGGGAACCGAGGUCGGCGCCCCUGCCAAUCUCCACAGCCUCCAGCGACCAACCCCAUCUCCUGCCCCCUGCAACUGGUCCUGCCAGUACGCCGCGUCCGCCGCCGGUGAAUGCCCUCCGCAAGGACUGCGCCUAGCCCCUCUGCUCCGGCGCUCCUCGGCCGUCCCUGGCCCUCUGCCUGGUCGCCAGGGACGUGCUGCUCCGCGCCUGCUCCAGCCGGGGGCCGCCGCCCGCCGCGCCGGCUCUGGCCCUUUGCUCCGACCAAUCCCGGUGCUGCUCGCCUGCUCGGCCGAACUCUGUCGCCCAAGACUUGCUGUCAACAAACUGCAAGCAGGCUGGGACAAGGGACAAUUGGCUUCUUCAAGAAGGUAGAAGACGCCGUCCACCCUGUGUCACCGUCGCCAGAAGGUAGAAGACGCCGUCCACUCCUGUUCAGCCACUGCACCAUCGUCCAGCACCUCAAGGCCGACAUCGCCUGGAGCUCCUGUUCAAGAUUUCAGAUCCAGAGAUGAGUACUGAAACUACUUGAUGCUAAGAUUCAGACUGAAGUUACUGUCAAAACUGUCAAUUUUCUCCUUGAUGUGAGCAUUUAUAGUUUGAUCCAGAGAUUCAGCCAAAUUGUCCAUUUAACAGAAGUUAGGUUCAUAACUGACCCCUAGCUAUCAAAAUUUAGUUAAUCAAACUGUAACAAAUUGUCCAUUUAACAAAACUUAUGUUCAUACCUGAUCA